rnacentral:lncRNA from 1 species
UACUUUAAACAAACAAUGUGUCAAUGUCUUACUUCCUAGCUGAAAUGCAAAUCUUUGAGUAUAAGGGCUGUACAUCAGCUUAUGUUUGUUUGUUUGCUUGGUAGGGGACAACGAACAUAAUACUCAACAAAUAUAUUUGUUGGAGGAAGGGAUCAACAUAGUGGAGUAGGAAGAUCCUAAGCUCACCUCCUCCCACAAACACACCAAAAUGUACAACUACAUACAGAACAACUACCUCUGAGAAUGAAGGCUAACAAAACAGAUCUUAUACAAGUGAGAAUAUAAGGAAAAAACCACAAUGAGAUGGGUAGAAGGGGUGGAAAUAGAAUCCGGUUAGGACCCAAGCCUGGAUGCAGUGACCCACAAACGGGAGGGAUAUUGUAACCUUAGAGGCCCUGGGGAACAAGGGGUCCAAAUCCCACAUUGCACUCCACAGCUCAGAAAACCUGCCCUAGGAAGACAAACAGCCAUAAUGCCUAGCUUUGAAAACCAGCAGGCUUCUGUUGGCUUAUACCGGGAGAGUCAGAGGGGCAACCAGGAAACUGAGACUUUGCUCUUAAAGGACCUACACACAAUCUCACUCACUGAGUCCCAGUGCAAAGUCCCAGCUUGAAAGGCCUCUGGGUAUCAUGUGAAGAGCCACUGACUAAUUUUAGGGCAUGUGCUGGAUAGGCAGGGAUCUGUUAGAACAUUCUUCAGAGAUGGAAGCACUGGUAGGCACCAUUUUCUUUUUACUUCCUUUCUACCUAACUGGCUCAGCACUAAGUGGGUACCAUUUCUGAUUCUGUCCAUCUGUUAUGCUAGCACCAUUUUCCAGCCCCAGUAUUCCCCUACAGACUUGCCUCAUCCAAUUUACUCAACCCAGAUCAGCACUCCUCCCAAGUGGCUCCCCUAUACCGAGUGUUGGCAUUGGAGCCCCUCUCAAAUAGUUCCACUUGCCCCACCACACCAUGUGGGAGGCCUUGGCCAGCAUCAGUGGUCCCUCCAAGUGCCCCCAUGCCAGGGGCCCAGCCCUGUACACUAGAGUAUCUGCAAUAGUUAUACCUGGACCUUGUAUCCAGUUACACUGGAGGCCUGUCCUGCCCUCCAGCAAGUCCAGGGCUGUCACAGCUUACAGGCAGGCGUGCAAGGAACCAACCUUGCACAACAGUGCACCUGUGGCAAUCACAGCCAGGUGUUAGAGCCAGAUAGGCUCGGGGCUAGCUGCAUUUAACAGCAUGUGUGUAGCAGUGAUGGCUGGGCCUAAUAUACAGCCAUAGCAAGGGAAAGCCUCACACAACAACAUGUCCAUACCAGUCAUGAUCCAGUCAUAAUAGAAGGGUAUAUGCAGCCCAUACAGGGCACAUUUUUGGGACACUGGCUCAGACGACCAAGAGUAUUUGUGCAACUGGGCCCCACAGGGGCACAUUCUUUAUAAAACCAUUCCUUCAGACAGGGAAAUGUAUCUG